rnacentral:rRNA from 1 species
GCUAAUCUGCGAUAAGCGCCGGUAAGGUGAUAUGAACCGUUAUAACCGGCGAUACCCGAAUGGGGAAACCCAGUGUGACUCGUCACACUAUCAUUAACUGAAUCCAUAGGUUAAUGAGGCGAACCGGGGGAACUGAAACAUCUAAGUACCCCGAGGAAAAGAAAUCAACCGAGAUUCCCCCAGUAGCGGCGAGCGAACGGGGAGGAGCCCAGAGCCUGAAUCAGCAUGUGUGUUAGUGGAAGCGUCUGGAAAGGCGCGCGAUACAGGGUGACAGCCCCGUACACAAAAGCGCAUGUGCUGUGAGCUCGAUGAGUAGGGCGGGACACGUGGUAUCCUGUCUGAAUAUGGGGGGACCAUCCUCCAAGGCUAAAUACUCCUGACUGACCGAUAGUGAACCAGUACCGUGAGGGAAAGGCGAAAAGAACCCCGGCGAGGGGAGUGAAAAAGAACCUGAAACCGUGUACGUACAAGCAGUGGGAGCACCCUUUGGG